rnacentral:piRNA from 1 species
UAAUAAGGCCAACUUGUGGUUUCGAUUC